UAUAUCUGGCUCUAGGAUCCUUUGGUGUCUGUUUUUUUAGGAGGUUACAGUUCCUGUUCUGCACUUAGCUAAGGUUAAUAAGUACAUUAAUUUGCUGUGCCUGGCCAAGUUUAAUGGUAUUUGACCACAAGGAGGAAGUCAGGCUGAAAUUUAGAACUCACAAAGUGAGUAAUUCCAAAGGAUAAUUGAAAGUUGACUGUAGUUAAAUUCAUGCCUGUGUUGUUGUUUAAGACUGGCUUCUUACCUUGGAUUGGAAGGAUUCAGAUACGUGUGGCAGCGUUGUGAAUUUGUUCCCCAGUCAAAGCCCUGAACUUUGUCCAAGCUUGGAAGAAAUAGUGCUCCCAGCUGUUGGUUUAAAGAAAGAAGACCUCUGGUUAAAUAAGAGUAAUCCCACAUUCCCUAUUCUUGAGGCUGUAAAAUUGACUUUUAGGGUUGACAUCCAGUGGAGUCUAAGAAUAGUGACGAAAGCUAAAAGACGAAGUUAAACUUUUAGUCUCUUUCAACCAAAUAAUACGAUUCAUUUAUUAAUUUAUCUGGUAAGCAUGACUGCUUAAACUGUAUAUUUAAUCAU
rnacentral:lncRNA from 1 species